rnacentral:tRNA from 1 species
GCGGUGGUAGUUCAGUGGUAGAAUUCUCACCUUCCAUGUGGCAGACCCGAGUUUGAUUCCGACCAAUGCA